GACGGAGGAUGCAAGUGUUAUCCGGAAUCACUGGGCGUAAAGCGUCUGUAGGUGGUCAAAUAAGUCAACUGUUAAAUCUUGAGGCUCAACCUCAAAAUCGCAGUCGAAACUAUUAGACUAGAGUAUAGUAGGGGUAAAGGAAAUUUCCAGUGGAGCGGUGAAAUGCGUAGAGAUUGGAAAGAACACCGAUGGCGAAGGCACUUUACUGGGCUAUUACUAACACUCAGAGACGAAAGCUAGGGUAGCAAAUGGG
rnacentral:rRNA from 1 species